CAAGGACAGCCUCGAUGUUCUUUUCCCAUCCAUGAUCAGAUUCCAGUCUGACUGCAGCAAUGAGGGACGUGAUGGACCGCAAAAACAGGCA